rnacentral:rRNA from 1 species
UAUGGGUUGUAAACCUCUUUUUUCAGGGAGGAAUAAAUGACGUGUACCUGAAGAAUAAGCAUCGGCUAACUCCGUGCCAGCAGCCGCGGUAAGACGGAGGAUGCAAGUGUUAUCCGGAAUCACUGGGCGUAAAGCGUCUGUAGGUGGUYUAAUAAGUCAACUGUUAAAUCUUGAGGCUCAACYUCAAAAUCGCAGUCGAAACUAUUAGACUAGAGUAUAGUAGGGGUAAAGGGAAUUUCCAGUGGAGCGGUGAAAUGCGUAGAGAUUGGAAAGAACACCGAUGGCGAAGGCACUUUACUGGGCUAUUACUAACACUCAGAGACGAAAGCUAGGGUAGCAAAUGGGAUUAGAUACCCCAGUAGUCCUAGCUGUAAACAAUGGAUACUAGAUGUUGAACAGMUCGACCUGUGCAGUAUCAAACGUAAGCGCGUUAAGUAUCCCGC